rnacentral:tRNA from 1 species
UGUUUAGCUCAGCUGGGAGAGCACCUCCCUUACAAGGAGGGGGUCGGCGGUUCGAUCCCGUCAUCACCCACCA